rfam:Flammeovirga sp. SJP92 Scaffold7_4, whole genome shotgun sequence.
GGUCCGAUAGCUCAACUGGAUAGAGCAACUGCCUUCUAAGCAGUAGGUUCCAGGUUCGAGUCCUGGUCGGAUCA